rnacentral:rRNA from 1 species
UACAGAGGUCCCAAGCGUUGUUCGGAUUCACUGGGCGUAAAGGGUGCGUAGGUGGUCGGGUAAGUCUGAUGUGAAAUCUCCGAGCUCAACUCGGAAAUGGCAUUGGAAACUACCUGGCUGGAGGGUUGGAGGGGGGACUGGAAUUCCAGGUGUAGCGGUGAAAUGCGCAGAUAUCAGGAGGAACACCGGUGGCGAAGGCGGGUCUCUGGGCCGUAACUGACGCUGAGGAGCGAAAGCAUGGGGAGCGAACAGG